AAUAGAUGACGUCGUUGACUUUUUCACAUAUGUUUGAUCAUUCGUUUUAUUCAAAAAAUUUACAUAAUUAUAAUUUAUUUUGUUACGAGUUGUUUUAUCACUUAUAGUAUUUUAAGUGUGAUUUAUAUCUUAUACAUUUGAAUAAAAUUUUUAAAUAAGAUGAAUGGUCAAACAUGUGAGAAAAAAAUAUCGGCGUCAUCUAUU
rnacentral:pre_miRNA from 1 species